rnacentral:rRNA from 1 species
AGCGUAGACGGUUAGGUAAGUCUGAUGUGAAAGCCCACGGCUCAACUGUGGGACUGCAUUGGAAACUAUUUAACUAGAGUGCAGGAGAGGUAAGUGGAAUUCCUAGUGUAGCGGUGAAAUGCGUAGAUAUUAGGAGGAACACCAGUGGCGAAGGCGGCUUACUGGACUGUAACUGACGUUGAGGCUCGAAAGCGUGGGGAGCAAACA